GAUCCUGGCUCAGGAUGAACGCUAGCUACAGGCUUAACACAUGCAAGUCGCGGGGUAACAUCUGGUAGAGCUUGCUCUUCCAGGAUGACGACCGGCGCACGGGUGAGUAACGCGUAUCCAACCUGGCCCAUACCACGGGAUAGCCCGUCGAAAGGCGGAUUAAUACCGUAUGCUGUCAUUAAGAUGCAUAUAUUGAUGACGAAAGGACUGGCGGUAUGGGAUGGGGAUGCGUCUGAUUAGCUUGUUGGCGGGGUAACGGCCCACCAAGGCGACGAUCAGUAGGGGUUCCGAGAGGAAGGUCCCCCACAUUGGAACUGAGACACGGUCCAAACUCCUACGGGAGGCAGCAGUGAGGAAUAUUGGUCAAUGGGCGUAAGCCUGAACCAGCCAAGUAGCGUGAGGGAAGACUGCCCUACGGGUUGUAAACCUCUUUUGUUUGGGAAUAAAGUGCGGGACGUGUCCCGCAUUGCAUGUACCAUUUGAAUAAGGACCGGCUAAUUCCGUG
rnacentral:rRNA from 1 species